rnacentral:ncRNA from 1 species
UGUUAAGUGAAAUUAAGGAUGUUUUUUCAAAAACAAUCAGGAAAUAGGCUUAGAGGCGGCCAUUUUUUGAAGAUCUCGUAACAGAGCACUGAUUAAAUUUAAUAGGAAAAAAUACCGAAAAUUUAACGGAUCUAAAUAAUAUACCGAAACCUUGUACACAAUAACUGUGGGGUAGCGGAACAUCGGAUGUUUGAAUAUUAAGUAUAUUUUUUUUUUUAAGUAUACUUACAAGUAUAAUAUAAUAUAUACUUUUUAUUUUAUAUUAUACUGAGAGAAUUCCGAUAGAUAAUGCUGACAUGAGUAACGAAAAAGUUAACCUCGCCUUAAGCUUAUGGUAUUUUAUUUAAUUUUCGGUGUCUAAGUAAUUAAUCUAAAGAUAAUUGCGAUGACGUAAUGGUGAAUAUGUAAUUAAUAUAUUUAUUAAUUAUAUUUCUAACUAAUUACUAAACUAUUGAUAUACAAUAUGUAUAUAUUUAUUAUUUUAUUGAAAGAUUGCAUAACCUUUGUAAAGUAGCAUAGGUUCAGGAAGUAAAUUUUUCAUUAUAUAUAUAUAUAUAUACUUAGAUAUUGCUGUAUUAAAUUAUAUAGUUAUAGUAGUUAGUAUAUACCGUACCUAGAUACUAACACAAGUAAGCAAGUAGAGUAUACAAAGGCGUUUGAGUGAACAAUCAUUAAGGAACUCGGCAAAUUAACUACCGUAACUUCGGGAUAAGGAGAACCAUUUUUAUUAGUUUGACCAAUUUUUGGAUAAUUAUUAAAUUAAUAGAAAGAGGAGGCAUAGAAUAAUGUUGUACGACUGUUUAAUAAAAACAAAGCACUCUGCCAAGAUAAAAUGUCUAAGUAUUGAGUGUGAUGUCUGCCCAAUGUCGGCUGGAUAACGAAUUUAUCUUGAUAUUUAUUUAAGGUUUUGAAGGAUACCCCGAUCAAUGGCGGCCUUACCUAUGAGGGUCCUAAGGUAGCGGAAUACCUUGGCCGUUAAAUGCGGUCUUUGCAUGAAUGACUUAACGAUACAACAGCUGUCUCGAUGAUUGUCUCAGUGAAAUUGGAAUAGCAGUGCAGAUACUGUUUACCUCUAGAUAGACGAGAAGACCCUAUGCAGCUUUACUGUUACUAAUUACAAGAGAUUAACUUUAAGUUAAUUGCGAGUGUAUAAGGUAGUCGUAAGACAAUAAUGAAACACCUUUAUUUGUACUUAUCAUAUACUCUUGAUGAUUAGGAGGCAGUUUAUGCGGGGCACAGAUCCCACAAAAAGUACCUGGGUAUAUCCAAAGUUCAUAUUGUAAAUUUGUAAAUUAUUAGUUACAAAUAUUUUAAUUUGUUAUUAAUUAUGUUAGUAAUAAUACAGUUAUUAUUAGAUUAAAUUCAGUAUAUUUUUUUAUUUUUAGUAAGAUUUUAACUAUAUGGUGAAUAGAUGUAUUUUAAGCUAAAAGUUGUUUUAGCUUAUUUUUAUAUUAAUAUUGUAUAUGUUCUUUAUUAAUAUAAUUUUUAUAUAUACUAUAAAAGUUUAAUGGCUAAAUCUUGCUUUACUGUUUGACUUACAAGUCUAUCAGUCGCGUAAGCGGGGCAUAUGAUCACAAGAUGCAUAAAGGAAAGGUCUUGGAUUAAAGAAAAAGUUACGCUAGGGAUUUAGCUUAAGUCCCUUAAUAUCAUAAGAUAUUAUAUAUAAUUUGGGUAA